UUGAACGCUGGCGGCAGGCCUAACACAUGCACGUCGCACGGUAACAGGAAGAAGCUUGCUUCUUUGCUGACGAGUGGCGGACGGGUGAGUAAUGUCUGGGAAACUGCCUGAUGGAGGGGGAUAACUACUGGAAACGGUAGCUAAUACCGCAUAACGUCGCAAGACCAAAGAGGGGGACCUUCGGGCCUCUUGCCAUCGGAUGUGCCCAGAUGGGAUUAGCUAGUAGGUGGGGUAACGGCUCACCUAGGCGACGAUCCCUAGCUGGUCUGAGAGGAUAACCAGCCACACUGGAACUGAGACACGGUCCAGACUCCUACGGGAGGCAGCAGUGGGGAAUAUUGCACAAUGGGCGCAAGCCUGAUGCAGCCAUGCCGCGUGUAUGAAGAAGGCCUUCGGGUUGUAAAGUACUUUCAGCGGGGAGGAAGGGAGUAAAGUUAAUACCUUUGCUCAUUGACGUUACCCGCAGAAGAAGCACCGGCUAACUCCGUG
rnacentral:rRNA from 1 species